ensembl:rRNA 5S_rRNA 5S ribosomal RNA
GCUUACGGCCAUACCUCUCUGGCUCCGCCUGAUCUCGUCUGAUCUCAGAAGCUAAGCAGAGUCGGGCCUGGUUAGUACUUGGAUGGAAGACCGCCUGGGAAUCCCAGGUGCCGUAAGCU